rnacentral:lncRNA from 1 species
UUCUAGGCAAACCUAUUAUGUAAUAUCCAUCCAUAUAUAUACGCACUCAGGACAUAGCACACAAUUUAUACAUGCACUUCAAUCAAAGUAGCAUAUAGGCCUCAUCGAAAACCUUAAACUUAACGACCAUAUAUAAAGAGGUAGUACCACAAAAGGAUUACAUAUAUACGUUUGCCACACACCCAAAAUAAAGUAGUGCCACUAGAGAUGUACAUAUGUUUCUAGAUGUGUGCCACACAACCUAAAUAAGCUAAUUCAACAAUCAGCAAAAUGAGCAGAGCAAGUCUUUACAUUCAACAAACAAGACACAUGUCAUUAUCACUCCACCAACUUAAUUUUAGGUCUUCCAAAUCUUCAGCAGCUUGAAGAUCUUCCAAACCUUAGUGAACUUGUGCACCUUUGGGAAACCUGCAAUAGAUCAGAAGAUGUUACAUAUAACAGUUGCAGUCAUAACUUAAGGAAGAUGUUAUAACAAUCGCAUAUAAUAGCCGGAUAUAUGUUCUAAAAUAUAGAGCAACCAGUAACAUCUCUUGAGUAAUCUCUUCUUUAGUAGAGAACAUGUUCUGGAGAUCAAGAUGUCCAUUCUUUUAUCAUCUUAACAAUAGCUAGUUUAUCUUCUCAUCAAAAUGUAGCGUGCAAAGUCUGUACAAAUAUUAACAGGAAGAUGUUACAACAAUCACAUACAACAGUCGCAUGCCCGACAUACAACAGCCGCAUAUGUUCUGAAACAUAGAGCAACUAGUAACAUCUCUAGAGUAAUCUCUACUUUAGUAGAUAACAUAUCCUGGACAUCAACAUGUCCAUUUUUUAUCAUCUUGACAAUGUGCUAGUGCAGUCUCUAGUGGGCCUUGAUAUUGAGCCUGACCUUGGAUAUAAGCUGAUUUAUUUUGAGUUCCUAUAUGAAGUUGGCACAACAUAGUAGGAUAAUGAAUCUGGAAAUCUAUAAAUGAUGAUAUCAUUUUGUGGUUUUGCGUGGUAUUUCCUUAGAGCAAUGAUGACAACUGUGCUUACAGACUUCCUGCAUCCAGAACACGAAGUUGAACUACAUUUCUCCUAUUGCGGAAUUUGAUGAAGGGGUGUAUUGGGAGUAUUGUGAUUUUCACUGAAGCAUUGCCUCUUAUUGUAAAGAUGACUCAAUGUUGGUCCCAUUGCACAAACAAGCCUUUUAAUUUUUGCUCCCUCUUUGCAGGAGCUAUUAAAGUUGAGUUAGAAUUAGAGGGGAACUAGCUGGACAUAUAUUUCAGGAUCUUUUAAUGGGAGCUGUUUAGUUUCCUGGUUCCAUGCUUUUGUUGGACAAGUUACAAAUGAAGGUCCCCUAAAAUUGUACUCGCUCCGUCCCAAAAUAAGUGUAUCAACUUUGUAACUUUAGUGCAAAGUUGUACAAAAGUUAUGAGACUUAUUUUGGGACGGAGGGAGUAUCUGAGUAGUGGACAAGCCCACAGAUUUACAAAUCCAGUGAAACACUACGAGCAUUUGGUUCACUUUCCUACAUCUUGCACAACAAGUUGAAUUAGCCUAGAAAAAUAAACCAAGGCUUUUGACAAACAAACAAACAAACAAGCUAAAAUACUUCAUGUACAUGAAAGAAAGAGGAUCCAGUUAUGAGAAAUGAAUCAAAUGAAAGUUGUGAGCAUGGAAUCCAAUGAAAAUCAUUUCUCUACAUGGUAGAGUCUAUCGUGUACAUGAAAGAAAGAUGAUCCAAUUAAAGUUUAUAUUUGUAACCAUAUUUAUUCAACUGACCUCUCUCCAAAUUCAUGGCUGAUGGACACAAAAGCACACUUCUAAAGAACUAUAAUGAUCUGUUUGAAUUACUAACUAAUACUAUAUACUGGAAUCAGGAGCUCAAGUUUCCUGGACACAAGUUAACCAUGUAGCAACCAAAUGAGCAAACCAUUACUAUCUGUCCUUGAUAGUUCACACUAAUGUAAAUAUUCAACCAAGAAAACAUGUAUAUUACCUCCUCAGCUUGCUUGUGGUCGCAACGCAUUGCCGCAUUUGCCAAUAACUCACUUCCAACUACAUACAUAGAAGCAAGAGUUUUAAGCAAUCAACCAUGAUAGUCAUUGUGCAUUUAAUCAUAGGACCUAAGCUUACAUGCUUGUAAGGCCAUGCAAUACAUCGCGUAACAUACGAAAGAAAGUUUACUUCUAUUAAUAGGGAAAAAUCUAAUACCAUAUAUUACAUUGAAAAUGAACAAAGUAAGCUCGCACAAGAAGCAGUUAUGACUCAUCAUUUUGGUUCACUCCAGGGGGUGGUCAUGGUGUACUCACAUCAAUAUGAACGAUGACCAAACUUCAAAUCUACGACCAGACUGCAGUUGACACGACCAUAUAUAAUCUACUACGAUGGUCACUAUUGUUUCGGUAGAUAUUGAUGAUAUAAGGGCGCUCCUUGGUCAGUGGGUUGUCUCCUGGUGUUGUUCCUUCACUAAUACUGCAAGCUGCUUAUUACAUGUGAAUCAGUAUAAAGUACAUAAAGACUCCCAACAGAUGAAUACAAGAAAAAAUUGUAGCAAGAUAAACUGCAUCUGUAUAAAGUACAUAAAGGCUCCCAACAGAUCAAUACAAGCAAAAAUUAGCAACAGAAACUUCCUAUGUUUGCUUCAAGAAGUCACAAUCUAGUGAAGG